rnacentral:rRNA from 1 species
AUUGAACGCUGGCGGCAGGCCUAACACAUGCAAGUCGAACGAGUGGCGGACGGGUGAGUAAUGUCUGGGAAACUGCCUGAUGGAGGGGGAUAACUACUGGAAACGGUAGCUAAUACCGCAUACAAUCAGAUGUGCCCAACUGGGAUUAGCUAGUUGGUGGGGUAACGGCUCACCAAGGCGACGAUCCCUAGCUGGUCUGCUAGGAUGAACAGCCACACUGGAACUGCGACACGGGCCAGACUCCUACGGGAGGCAGCAGUGGGGAAUAUUGCACAUUGGGCGCAAGCCUGAUGCAGCCAUGCCGCGUGUAUGAAGAAGGCCUUCGUGUUUUAAAGUACUUUCAGCGGGGAGGCGUUACCCGCAGAAGAAGCACCGGCUAACUCCGUGCCAGCAGCCGCGGUAAUUC